rnacentral:rRNA from 1 species
AGGCGAUGAAGGACGUGCUAAUCUGCGAUAAGCGUCGGUGAGGUGAUAUGAACCGUUAUAACCGGCGAUUUCCGAAUGGGGAAACCCAGUGUGUUUCGACACACUAUCAUUAACUGAAUCCAUAGGUUAAUGAGGCGAACCGGGGGAACUGAAACAUCUAAGUACCCCGAGGAAAAGAAAUCAACCGAGAUUCCCCCAGUAGCGGCGAGCGAACGGGGAGGAGCCCAGAGCCUGAAUCAGUGUGUGUGUUAGUGGAAGCGUCUGGAAAGGCGUGCGAUACAGGGUGACAGCCCCGUACACAAAAAUGCACAUAUUGUGAGCUCGAUGAGUAGGGCGGGACACGUGGUAUCCUGUCUGAAUAUGGGGGGACCAUCCUCCAAGGCUAAAUACUCCUGACUGACCGAUAGUGAACCAGUACCGUGAGGGAAAGGCGAAAAGAACCCCGGCGAGGGGAGUGAAAAAGAACCUGAAACCGUGUACGUACAAGCAGUGGGAGCCUCUUAAUGGGGUGACUGCGUACCUUUUGUAUAAUGGGUCAGCGACUUAUAUUCUGUAGCAAGGUUAACCGAAUAGGGGAGCCGAAGGGAAACCGAGUCUUAACUGGGCGUUAAGUUGCAGGGUAUAGACCCGAAACCCGGUGAUCUAGCCAUGGGCAGGUUGAAGGUUGGGUAACACUAACUGGAGGACCGAACCGACUAAUGUUGAAAAAUUAGCGGAUGACUUGUGGCUGGGGGUGAAAGGCCAAUCAAACCGGGAGAUAGCUGGUUCUCCCCGAAAGCUAUUUAGGUAGCGCCUCGUGAAUUCAUCUCCGGGGGUAGAGCACUGUUUCGGCAAGGGGGUCAUCCCGACUUACCAACCCGAUGCAAACUGCGAAUACCGGAGAAUGUUAUCACGGGAGACACACGGCGGGUGCUAACGUCCGUCGUGAAGAGGGAAACAACCCAGACCGCCAGCUAAGGUCCCAAAGUCAUGGUUAAGUGGGAAACGAUGUGGGAAGGCCCAGACAGCCAGGAUGUUGGCUUAGAAGCAGCCAUCAUUUAAAGAAAGCGUAAUAGCUCACUGGUCGAGUCGGCCUGCGCGGAAGAUGUAACGGGGCUAAACCAUGCACCGAAGCUGCGGCAGCGACACUAUGUGUUGUUGGGUAGGGGAGCGUUCUGUAAGCCUGUGAAGGUGGCCUGUGAGGGUUGCUGGAGGUAUCAGAAGUGCGAAUGCUGACAUAAGUAACGAUAAAGCGGGUGAAAAGCCCGCUCGCCGGAAGACCAAGGGUUCCUGUCCAACGUUAAUCGGGGCAGGGUGAGUCGACCCCUAAGGCGAGGCCGAAAGGCGUAGUCGAUGGGAAACAGGUUAAUAUUCCUGUACUUGGUGUUACUGCGAAGGGGGGACGGAGAAGGCUAUGUUGGCCGGGCGACGGUUGUCCCGGUUUAAGCGUGUAGGCUGGUUUUCCAGGCAAAUCCGGAAAACCAAGGCUGAGGCGUGAUGA